rnacentral:rRNA from 1 species
UACGUAGGGUGCGAGCGUUAAUCGGAAUUACUGGGCGUAAAGCGUGCGCAGGCGGUUUUGUAAGCCAGAUGUGAAAUCCCCGGGCUUAACCUGGGAAUGGCAUUUGGGACUGCAAGGCUUGAGUGCGGCAGAGGAGACUGGAAUUCCUGGUGUAGCAGUGAAAUGCGUAGAUAUCAAGUGGAACACCAGUGGCGAAGGCGAGUCUCUGGACAUUUCCUGACGCUGAGGCACGAAAGCCAGGGGAGCAAACGGG